CCGGGGGCCCGGGCCCGGGCCCGAGCCCCGGCUGGCGGCGGAGCCGACAGAAGACGAGGCAGCGGCCGCGGGAUCCAGCGCCGGCUCCGCAGGGUACUCCUGUCAUCGUACUUGGUGACUUCAGGGUUUAGCAGAACCAUCGCAUACGGUUAUGCAGAUUGUGCACCGCACAAUGCCAAAGACGCUGUUCACAUAGACGGUUAUAUACUGAAACCCCCACGAGGUGGAAGAAGUUAACUGUAUGCUGUCCAUAGACCAGUUGGAACUAAAAGGUUGAUGAUGUUGACUCCCGAUCAUCUCACCACCAACCAAUCAGAAGAAUGUCCAUGAGCUGAUCAAGCACUGCACAACCCCCCUCCCUCACCCUGUCUUUAAAAACCUUUCCCUGAAACCCAUCAGGGCAUUUGUCUUUUAAGCACCAGCUGCCUGGAUUCCUUGCUUGGCACCCUGCAAUAAAUGCUGCACUUUCUUUCACCACAACUUGGUGUCAGUAGAUUGGCUUUACUGUGCAUGGGCAAGCAGACCCAAGUUUGGGUUGGUAACAGUACCAUUAAUAAACUUAGUCAAUUAAGUUCCUUUGAACAUUUGUAGUCAGUUGAUGUAGGUCAGUUGAUGUAGGGAAGAGCAUUC